rnacentral:rRNA from 1 species
UGGUGGAGUGAUUUGUCUGGUUAAUUCCGUUAACGAACGAGACCCCUGCCUGCUAAAUAGCCUGAUGAGUGAUUUUCACUGAUUAAGGCUUCUUAGAGGGACGUGCAUUCUAUUAGAUGCAGGAAGAUAGGGGCAAUAACA